GCCUUUAUAGCUCAGUGGUAGAGCGCAUCACUCGUAAUUUGUUUACGUUAUGAUGAGGUCCAUUGUUCGAUCCAGUGUGGAGGCA